rnacentral:rRNA from 1 species
GCAUCUUAGUACGGCGAGUGAGCGGGAAGAGCUCAAAUUUGAAAUCUUCAAGGUUUGACCUUGACGAAUUGUAGUUUAUAGAAGUGUUUUCUGUUGGAGUUUUGGUAAAAGUUCUUUGGAAUAGGACAUCAUAGAGGGUGAGAAUCCCGUAUUUGACCAUGACUUUCCAGCUGUGUGAUACACUUUCAAAGAGUCGGAUUGUUUGGGAAUGCAGUCCAAAAUGGGUGGUAAAUUUCAUCUAAAGCUAAAUAUUGGCGAGAGACCGAUAGCGAACAAGUACCGUGAGGGAAAGAUGAAAAGAACUUUGAAAAGAGAGUUAAACAGUACGUGAAAUUGUCAAAAGGGAAGCGUUUGACACCAGUGUUGUUUUCUCGAAAAUCAAUUUAAUGAGUUCUUGUUUUUAAGUUAUUGUGACUUUAUCAGCGCAUUUCUUAUUUUACUUGACUCAUUGAAUGCACUUUUCGUUUAACAAGUCAACAUCAAUUUCUUUGGUGGUAAAAAGUUUAAAGGAAGGUGGCUUGGACUUCGGUUCAAGUGUUUAUAGCCUUUUUUCUAUGCCAUCGGAGAGAUUGAGGUCUGCAGCGUAGAUCCUUCGGGGUUAGAUACCUUUGUGCUAAGUUAUAGUUUUUUAUAGACAACUUGUUGACUAUAAUUAACCCUGUAAUUUACUCGCUUAGGCUAUUUUACCUACGCUUAGGAUGUUGACAAAAUGGUUUUAAACGACCCGUCU